UACGUAGGGGGCAAGCGUUAUCCGGAUUUACUGGGUGUAAAGGGAGCGUAGACGGCAAGGCAAGUCUGAUGUGAAAACCCAGGGCUUAACCCUGGGACUGCAUUGAAAACUGUCUGGCUCGAGUGCCGGAGAGGUAAGCGGAAUUCCUAGUGUAGCGGUGAAAUGCGUAGAUAUUAGGAAGAACACCAGUGGCGAAGGCGGCUUACUGGACGGUAACUGACGUUGAGGCUCGAAAGCGUGGGGAGCAAACAGG
rnacentral:rRNA from 1 species